rnacentral:piRNA from 1 species
CCCACACUCAGAGGUCAUGCUAAG